UACGAAGGGGAGCUAGCGUUGUUCGGAAUUACUGGGCGUAAAGCGCGCGUAGGCGGUUUGUCGCGUCUGCUGUGAAAUCCCGAGGCUCAACCUCGGGCUUGCAGUGGGUACGGGCAGACUAGAGUGCGGUAGAGGCGUGUGGAAUUCCGGGUGUAGUGGUGAAAUGCGUAGAGAUCCGGAGGAACACCAGUGGCGAAGGCGACACGCUGGGCCAUACCUGACGCUAAAGCGGCGAACAGCAUGG
rnacentral:rRNA from 1 species